ensembl:lncRNA
UGGUGAAUAGUAUUCACAGCUUAGAACAUCAUCAUAAUCACUUGUUCCUCUGAAGUGAUUGCCACCAAUGACAUAGAGCUUAUCUCCAACUGUACACAUGCAAUGCAGACCUCUGACUGUAGUCAUUGGAGCCUUUUGCAUCCAUUUAUCUGUAUCUGGGUCAAAACACAUGAGCUCAUUUUGGAAAGUGUCAUGGGUAAUUCCUCCUGAAAUAUACAUUAAGCCUCCAUAAACUGUUCCAGCAUGACCAUAGUGGGGUUCACUCAUUUUUGCAACAUAGCUCCACUCAUUCAUUCUUGGGUUGUAACAUUCUACUGUGGCCAGUUCACCAGCUGCACUGCGCCCACCAACUGCAUACAAAUGUCCUUUGAGGGCACUCAAGUGAAAGAAUGUGCGCUUCUCAUUUAAUGAUGCAACCUGCAUCCAUUUAUUAUACCGAGGAUCAAAUCUGAAAACUGUAUCAACAGCAGUUUUUCCUUUUGUAUCAUAAUUACUCUGACCACCAACUACAUAAAGAAAGUUUCCAAUGACAGCAAUACCAUGCUGGUAACGGGGAGCAUCCAUUGGGGCUAAAGAUCUCCAUUCUUGUGCCCUUUCAUCAUACAUCCGUAACUCUUUACUGACAACCAGCUGCUGCCUCAAAACUCCUCCUAAGGUAACCAAGUGAGUGGAGUCAGAUCGAAUGGCAGUUCUAUCUGACUGCAUCACUGGCUGCAUAUAUGGCAUCAUUUGGUAAUUGCUAGCUUCCAAAAGCAAAUUCACGCAGGUAUUGUCUGUUCUCAUGAAAUCUACUGUCUGCACGUAAUUGAUGAGAUCCUGUGGUGUCAUCAGUGGAAAUCGAAUAUUCUUCAUUAAUUUUGCAGCAUAAUCCAUCCGAGGGUCUUCCAACCUUAGCCAGCGACAGGCUGCCUUAAAGAGUUCAAGUUCGGUACAGUGCUUAAGACUAUUACUGGAAAGCACAAAUGCAAGCCGUUCAAAAGGGAGUUUUAGAAACUCCCCAGUACUCAAUAAAGCAGGAAAGUUCUUCAGGAUGAAAUUAUUAACAUAUUUAUCCACUUCUAUAAGAUUGUAGGUGUUAGCAAUUCGUCCAACCUCAACACAGUUAUCCAAAGAGACUCCUGAUAUAAGGAAUACUUUACAGAAAUCCAAAACGGGUAAUAUUUGUAAAAAGCUAGCAGCUUCAAGUGUGUCCUGAAGAUUGUCCAUAUUAAGAGAAAGUUUUGCAGUAUAAAUAAAAUCAAUGAUUUUCUUCAGACCAACCUUGUUCACCCCAUGAAGCUUAAUGCACAUCAAAUCUUGUUCUUUCAUUCCACCUGUGAACAUGGCUUUGAAAUAAUCACUAGCAGACGCCAUCAUAGCUCUGUGAACAGGGAAGAUUUCAUCUCCAUCACCUGGUACCAGGGUCACAUCACAAAGCAAUCCCUCUAUUCUAAGCUGAUCAAAGCCUUGCAGUACCACCGAACUGUGAGUAUUGCUGGUAAAAAAGCGUGUGGUUCCUGCCUUACAAGGCUGCAAAUGGGCAGAGACGCCCAUUUCGCCGUUACCAAGGGACACUUUCAUGUGAAAGCUUUCCUCUUGCACAGAGAUACAAGCCGGAUAAAGAAGUUAUAACCGGAAUGUUUUACAGGCAACGAGGUGUCCACAAAGAACAGAAAGCUCGUUUCCUUAUCAAGGGAAGGCAGUCACUGCGGCACCCCUCAGGCCACGCCAGUCAGUCAUCCACUGAAAAUCGCCCUGUAGCAGGACCACAAAGGGCUGUGGACCUCAAAUCUGAUUAUUAGACAGAUGAUUCAUCACCUGAAGGGGGUUAAAUGACCUGGUUCACCUCGUCCGGCCUGCGCUGCCGCUCCUUCAGCAGUUCCGCUUCGGGCAAGGAAGAGGCGCCGCCACGUACUGUGGCUACACGGCCCGCUCGGCGGCGGGUCCGGACACCUCAGCGAACGGCCCGCUGCGCCCUCCGCUGUACCUAGAGUGUCGCAGGGGCUACCGGCCUGUCUUUGAGCAAGGGCCUGGAACACAGGCCUGGGCCUGGGCUUGGGCCUAGAAUACCGGCCUAGCCCCGACGCCGAGCCGCUCCUUCCGGAAAAGCCUAGUCCCAGGAUACCCCGGGGUGGG